rnacentral:sRNA from 1 species
CCUCAUCCUUCCCAUCGGCCACAGGAUAAUCGCAUCCAGAUGUUUGCGAACCGGCUGCAUGCAGCAGAACAGAACCAGGUUCCAGCCAGGCCCAUGUAUGGUUAUGGUCAUUUAUCAUUUAUUUGCUUCUCGCGCUCCCUCCCUCGCCUUCUCCUCGGCUAUUCUUUAUUUAAAACGUGAUGGAGGAAAAAGGAAGCUGAAGCCACCGCCUUAUAUUUAGCUCAAAACCCUUUUUUUGGACCCUCGUCAGCACAAGAACCUCGUCAACCUGCAUGUGCUCGGUCGAAAAUGAAAGAAACAAGAAUUCUAUGGAUUCGAUUUCGAUUCCGACUUCUACAUGUUCCCGGUCCUCCUCGUGGUAUGUAUGAUAUAGGUUGCUGUCAAUGAUAGUAUCGAUACGUAUAUGGCUUGGCCCCUCUCGGCUUCCGGAACAUCCAACACACAGUAUAUAAUUACGAUCAUCCAGCAUCCAGCAUCUGGACAAUAGCCCGCCGCUCCAGAUUCCCGCUUCCAAGUUCCAGCUGUUCAGCUGGGGGCUCGUUACGUACUCGUCCUGCGCCGACGAUGCAGGUAGCCGUUCCACGCACAUGAUAAAAAUAACCAGAGCAGUGAUAAACCAAUGGCUACGUGCCCAUCCCCAUGCACCUGGGUAUUGGACAUGUACCUGUACGGAGUACAGUUAGAGUCAUAUCCGGAGUCGACUGGUUGAUUUCCCAUCAAUAAUCGGUUAUUAACCUUAAACGUACCCACGGGAUUCCGUCUGACUUGGGGUAGCCUUUAGUAAGUUAAACCAACUAACUAAUCAUAGCCAAUAGAGGAAGAGAAGAGAGCGGGUGAAAUGGUCCUUUUUUGGCGAGUGUUUUCCCCUCUUAACUUUGUACAGCGUAUACUUUAUAUAUAUGUACAGAUUAAGUUACUUCUUGAUCGGGCAGCCUGCCAUGGAUGCGGUGGCUCGGCUAGCAGAGCGCAAAAUGAA